AAGGUUACACUGUCUCCUCUUUCUAAUCAGUAAAACUAAUCUUCCCGUGAAGAAGCGGGGAUUUUUAUAUAAGACGAGAAGACCCUAUGGAGCUUUAAACGAAAUAACAACUACCAACUCAAUUGACAAUUUCAGAAGAUUUAUAUUAACUUUGGUAUAUUGAUUACUAGUUUUAGGUUGGGGUGACCGCGGAACAAAAAACAACCUCCGCAUUGAAUGGACCUAUACUCCUAAACAAAAAGCCACAACUUUAUGCAUCAAUACAUUGACAUCCAUUGACCCAUUAAUUUGAUCAACGAACCAAGUUACCCUAGGGAUAACAGCGCAAUCCAUUUCAAGAGCCCCUAUCGACAAAUAG
rnacentral:rRNA from 1 species